rnacentral:rRNA from 1 species
UGGGGAAUAUUGGACAAUGGGCGCAAGCCUGAUCCAGCAAUGCCGCGUGUGUGAAGAAGGUCUUCGGAUUGUAAAGCACUUUCGACGGGGACGAUGAUGACGGUACCCGUAGAAGAAGCCCCGGCUAACUUCGUGCCAGCAGCCGCGGUAAUACGAAGGGGGCUAGCGUUGCUCGGAAUGACUGGGCGUAAAGGGCGCGUAGGCGGAUUGUACAGUCAGAUGUGAAAUUCCCGGGCUCAACCUGGGGGCUGCAUUUGAUACGUAUGGUCUAGAGUCCGGAAGAGGGUGGUGGAAUUCCCAGUGUAGAGGUGAAAUUCGUAGAUAUUGGGAAGAACACCGGUGGCGAAGGCGGCCACCUGGUCCGGUACUGACGCUGAGGCGCGAAAGCGUGGGGAGCAAACAGG